rfam:Oryza barthii chromosome 1, whole genome shotgun sequence.
UUUAAGUGCGACUAUAAGUAGUUUUCGCGUCCAACUUUGAUCAUCUGUCUUAUUUGAAUUUUUUUUAUAAUUAGUAUUUUUGUUGUUAUGAGAUGAUAAAACAUGAAUAGUACUUUACUCGUGGCUUAUGUUUUUAAUUUUUUUAAAAAAGUUAUCAAAUAAGACGGACGGUCAAAGUUGGACGCAGAAAACCAUAACUACAUCUAAG